CAGGGAUUGAACCCGCGUCUCCUGUGCCUCCUGCAUUGCCAGAAAAUACAGAGAUGCUGGCCCUACGGUGAUUUUCACGUGCAAGUGAGCUUGAAAAGAUUAAUGUGUGAUCCACACUCCUCUCCAGACUGACAGAUCCUAGACACAUUCUCAUCUCUGCCCUAUGGCACAAUUAAACAAACAGCAGAGAUUUCGUUUUCACCGUGGAGUGUCUUCCAACAGGGAGUAAUACAUGAACAUCAGCAAGUCAUUUAACUAUAAACAAUGCGCACGUAAUCUGCACGUGCCUUGAACUACAUAAACUGUAUUUUAAGGAGGAUAAUACAUCAAAUGAAUAAUAAUCCCCACAUUAUGGACUCUGACUAAAACAAGGACAGAGGCACUAGAUUGCCAGGUGGGCUCCUGGUGAAGAACCCACCUAUCCAUGCAGGAGAGAAAAUUGCGUGACUGGGAAUCCAAAUACAUAAGCAAGGUUCUUCUUUCAGAAGUAUUCCAGCUAAUAAAUGAUGAAGAAAUGCGAGAACUAGAAUCUCUUGAUUUUACCUCUCUGAAUUAAUGAAUCUUGGCACUAAUCAUCCUAACACUGCAAGAGGCAAUCAAACAUCACAUGCUUUCUGAUGGAAAACUACAAUAUUACCUAUGAAGUAAUUUUGUCCCCAAACAAAUAAACAAUCUGACCUAAA